UUUUUUAAAAUCAGUGAUGCUGCCGUGCUCCUGGGGAAAACGAUUCGCCCUUGAAUGAAACGUGGUCCGAUAAUUGGCGACGGUCGGUGAACGGAGAAUGGCAGCCACGCUUCUGCCAGACGCCCGAGGGCAUCCGUGGCUACACAAAUAACUCACCACAAGUGUAAAGCGUGGCUCCGGUGCAAAAAGACAAGAUGGUUCGGCGUCCUUGGGGUGUCGCCGCCUCGGACACGUUUGGACAUGUUGCCCCCCCCCCCCCCAGCCCAAUUCCUCGGUCGGUCAGUGGGCGUGAGGACGCGUGCACCAUCACGAACCAAACUAAACACAAGCAGACACAAAACAAGUGGGAAGUUCAAAGCCACCUUGACCGUUCUUUGAUAUCCAAAUGGGACUGUGAACUGGAAUGUGACCUCUGCCUACAUCUGCACUCCAAAGGGUAUGAAGUUGGAAUAGAAAGCACUUCAUCAGCUAUGUACAGUGAACACCUGUUGUGGUAACACGACAACAGGACAGCGUGCAUCUCCCUAUUCGCCAAACGUCUUACAAACUCCCACCGCUACUACACGGGAAGAAUCUAAGCUCUGUUACGCAACAACAAAGAUCAAAUCAAAAAAAGGCCUUCAACGUAGCAAUCGCACUGGUUAGCACAUCCGCCUCACAUUUCUGAGGACCGAGGUUCAAAUCCCGCCCUCGCAUCUGUGGGGUUUCCAUGGUCUCCCCGUGGCUGCGUGGCUUUUCUCCGGGCACUCCGAUUUCCUCCCUCAUCCCGAAGAAACGUGCACGGUAUUGAUCUUUGGCAAGAAGUUGAUAGCUGAGCUGCAACCAUCUCGGGAGCUCGGUCCCAGUCUUCCCUCUACUGACGGGCCCAGACUUGCAUCAUUAUCACAGCGCUAUGCAUUGGCAGUCAGGCUGCACUCUCCCCACUCCCUCACGUCGUGAUAAACUACUGACGGGACUGCGGGCCGAUAGCUUUUUCGGUAUACAUCAGCUCCAAAAAGCACAUCAAUUAUUCAACCCCGCAGUGCCUCAUUGUAAUUACUUUGCAUUGAUGGGCUGCCAGCCAUCACAAGCGCGAGUCAAUGAAAUCAGCAAGGAGAUGCAGAAACUGUACUCGGGUGGCGUUUUCGGCGCAACCCUGUGCGGUUGUCCUUGCAGAAGGCGGCUCGGUUGAAACGCUGGGACGGGAACAAAAGGCUGUACGAAAGCAAGUGAAUCAGAAGAAAAAAAACGGGCGUGAGUCACUAUGACAGCGGUGAUAGAUGGUAAGAUCACCCAGCGUAAUGGAAAUAGUCUCUCUCAUCAUUGCGCAUUCAUUUUUAAUAGGGCUAAAUCUUGUGUGUGGCUUGCUUGGCAUCCUAAUGCCCCACGAGUGCUUAAUAGACACAAUAAAAUGCGGGGUAAAUACAAGAAAAAGAAAUAAAAGAUCAAAAGUCUCGCAUAAUAGACGUAUGUCGACCGACAAACACGGGAAAUUUGUCAAAAAUCGUGCUCGGAAUCAAAAGGCACAAAGUUUAAUCAUCGCCUUCCUGUUUAGCUUUCACGGAACUCUCCGUGCGUUCGCUUCCUCAAAUCCUGCACAAUCUGCGGGGAGUUGAGAUCGGCGGUUCGUCAGUCCGCGCACGGGCAAGUCGGGGGAGAGCAAACAGUGGGCGAGGAGUCGACGUGACACCGAACCCGCACCGCUCCGCUUUCAUCGCACGGGCGGACGUCCGCCCGGCGUGGGAAGGGAUACAAAAAGAAAUGAAGGUGACUUACCUGUGAGCCAAGGUGAUGCGGCUUGAUGGAGCUGUAACAAAUCUGCAGCCGCGAAGAAAGGCCGAGGGAGGAGAAGGAGACGGGAGUUGCGCAAAAGGCACCGGCUCGACUCUGAUUACUGCCUAAGCUAUCAAUUCUUCAAUGCUGCACCGAUACCUGUGUUGGGUAUCAGUGGCGAUACUGUAAAUAUUCUCCGAUAACGUCUGCGCCGUUGUUAACCCGGGCCACGACCGAUCCGGUAUGGGAUUCUUUAGAUGAACGCUCA